rnacentral:rRNA from 1 species
GUGGGGAAUCUUGCGCAAUGGGCGAAAGCCUGACGCAGCCAUGCCGCGUGAAUGAUGAAGGUCUUAGGAUUGUAAAAUUCUUUCACCGGGGACGAUAAUGACGGUACCCGGAGAAGAAGCCCCGGCUAACUUCGUGCCAGCAGCCGCGGUAAUACGAAGGGGGCUAGCGUUGCUCGGAAUUACUGGGCGUAAAGGGCGCGUAGGCGGACAGUUUAGUCAGAGGUGAAAGCCCAGGGCUCAACCUUGGAAUUGCCUUUGAUACUGGCUGUCUUGAGUACGGGAGAGGUGAGUGGAACGCCGAGUGUAGAGGUGAAAUUCGUAGAUAUUCGGAAGAACACCAGUGGCGAAGGCGACUCACUGGCCCGUUACUGACGCUGAGGCGCGAAAGCGUGGGGAGCAAACAGGAUUAGAUACCCCAGUAGUCC